UUGACUAAGUGGUCGGCACGGACUGCAAUGGUGUAGUAUCUGUUCUUGUCAGUUUAAUAUCUGAUAAGUCUCCUAUAUGUGGACCAUAUAUUAAAUUGAGUUUUGGAGCAGGGAGAUGGAAUAGGGGCUUGCUCCGUCCACUCCACGCAUCGACCUGGUAUUGCAGUACAUCCAGGAACAGAGAAUGACCU